rnacentral:rRNA from 1 species
GAGGCUCCCAGCUAGACGACUGGGUUGAUAGGCCGGAUGUGGAAGCACAGCAAUGUGUGGAGCUGACCGGUACUAAUAAGCCGACAACUUGACUAU